GACGAACGCUGGCGGCGUGCUUAACACAUACAAGUCGAACGGAGUGGCGAAAGGGUGAGUAACACGUGGGUAAUCUGCCUUGCACUUCGGGAUAAGCGUGGGAAACUGGGUCUAAUACCGGAUAGUGCAAGAUGAGCUCGCGUCCUAUCUGCUUGUUGGUGGGGUAAUGGCCUACCAAGGCGUCGACGGGUAGCAGGCCUGAGAGGGUGUACGGCCACAUUGGGACGGAGAUCCGGCCAAGACGCCUACGGGAGGAAGCAGUGGGGAAUAGUGCACAAUGGGCGGAAGCCUGAUGCAGUGACGCCGCGUGGGGGAUGAAUGCCUUCGGGUUGUAAACUCCUUUCGACAGGGACGCGGUACCUGUAUAAGAAGCACCGGCUAACUACGUGCCAGCAGCCGCGGUAAUAC
rnacentral:rRNA from 1 species